UUGGCAGCUCACCUUUUCAUUUCGCAAAUCUCAUAAAGGGUAUCACGAGCUCAUUUAACACAGAAAUUGAACUGGAAGAUCUGAAAAUGUUUAAAGCAAGCCAUGAAGGGAACUUCGGAGCUGGAGCGAGCGCCAUUACUCAGGCUGUUGAGAAAGUUGAAGCUAAUAUAAUGUGGAUGGAGAAGUAUUACAAGCGUAUCGACAAUUUUUUGUCUGAUCAGAUUUAAGUUUUUCUCUUAAACUAUAAGACACUUUAAAAUUUGAAUUUAUUUAUUUUUAACUUUAGUAAAUACCGUUUCCUAUGUAACAGAUUUAUUAUCAUUCUGAAGCAAAGAAAUGACGUCGUGGUAAUUUA
rnacentral:sRNA from 1 species